GAUGAAGAACGUAGCGAAAUGCGAUAAGUAAUGUGAAUUGCAGAAUUCAGUGAAUCAUCGAAUCUUUGAACGCACAUUGCGCCCUGUGGUAUUCCGCAGGGCAUGCCUGUUCGAGCGUCAUUUCAACCCUCAAGCCUCGCUUGGUGUUGGGCCCUGCCCGCCGCGGCCGGCCCUAAAGAUAGUGGCGGCGCCGCCUGGCCCUCAGCGUAGUACAGCUCUCGCUCCAGGGUCCGGCGGCAGCCUGCCAGAACCCCCCAACUCUGUGGUUGACCUCGGAUCAGGUAGGGAUACCCGCUGAACUUAAGCAUAUCAAUAAGCGGAGGA
rnacentral:misc_RNA from 1 species